rnacentral:tRNA from 1 species
GGGUAAUUAAAUAGUGUUAAUUGGUUAGCAUACGAAGUUGUGAUUUUCGUGGUAUGGGUUCGAGUCCCAUUUUACCUA